AGAUACCCUGGUAGUCCACCCCGUAAACGUUGGGAACUAGUUGUGGGGUCCUUUCCACGGAUUCCGUGACGCAGCUAACGCAUUAAGUUCCCCGCCUGGGGAGUACGGCCGCAAGGCUAAAACUCAAAGGAAUUGACGGGGACCCGCACAAGCGGCGGAGCAUGCGGAUUAAUUCGAUGCAACGCGAAGAACCUUACCAAGGCUUGACAUACACGAGAACGGGCCAGAAAUGGUCAACUCUUUGGACACUCGUGAACAGGUGGUGCAUGGUUGUCGUCAGCUCGUGUCGUGAGAUGUUGGGUUAAGUCCCGCAACGAGCGCAACCCUCGUUCUAUGUUGCCAGCACGUUAUGGUGGGAACUCAUGGGAUACUGCCGGGGUCAACUCGGAGGAAGGUGGGGAUGACGUCAAAUCAUCAUGCCCCUUAUGUCUUGGGCUUCACGCAUGCUACAAUGGCCGGUACAAAGGGCUGCAAUACCGUGAGGUGGAGCGAAUCCCAAAAAGCCGGUCCCAGUUCGGAUUGAGGUCUGCAACUCGACCUCAUGAAGUCGGAGUCGCUAGUAAUCGCAGAUCAGCAACGCUGCGGUGAAUACGUUCCCGGGUCUUGUACACACCGCCCGUCAAGUCAUGAAAGUCGGUAACACCUGAAGCCGGUGGCCUAAC
rnacentral:rRNA from 1 species